rnacentral:rRNA from 1 species
GACGAACGCUGGCGGCGUGCUUAACACAUGCAAGUCGAACGGUAAGGCCCUUCGGGGUACACGAGUGGCGAACGGGUGAGUAACACGUGGGUGAUCUGCCCUGCACUUCGGGAUAAGCCUGGGAAACUGGGUCUAAUACCGGAUAGGACUCCUGGCUUCAUGGUUGGGGGUGGAAAGCUUUUGCGGUGUGGGAUGGGCCCGCGGCCUAUCAGCUUGGUGGUGGGGUAAUGGCCUACCAAGGCGAGGACGGGUAGCCGGCCUGAGAGGGUGACCGGUCACACUGGGACUGAGAUACGGCCCAGACUCCUACGGGAGGCAGCAGUGGGGAAUAUUGCACUAUGGGCGCAAGCCUGAUGCAGCGACGCCGCGUGAGGGAUGACGGCCUUCGGGUUGUAAACCUCUUUCAGCAUCGACGAAGCGAAAGUGACGGUAGGUGCAGAAGAAGGACCGGCCAACUACGUGCCAGCCGCCGCAGUAA